rnacentral:rRNA from 1 species
UACGGAGGGUGCAAGCGUUAUCCGGAAUUACUGGGUUUAAAGGGUGCGUAGGCGGCUUGAUAAGUCAGGGGUGAAAGCCUAUCGUUUAACGAUAGAAUUGCCUUUGAUACUGUAAAGCUUGAAAGGGGUUGAGGUCAGCAGAAUGUGGCAUGUAAUGGUGAAAUGCAUAGAUAUGCAAUAGAACACCGAUUGCGAAGGCAGCUGGCUGGGCCUACUUUGACGCUGAGGCACGAAAGCGUGGGGAGCGAACAGG